rnacentral:ncRNA from 1 species
GAUUAUCGCGGGAGACAGUAAUGGAGAAUUUUCCGUAAUGGGUAAAAGCCUGACGGAGCAAUGUCGCGUGAAGAUAGAAGGCCUAUGGGUCAUGAACUUUUUUUUCCGGAGAAUAAGCAUUGGCUAACUUUGUGCCAGCAGCCGCGGUAAGACAGAGGAUGCAAGCGUUAUC